rnacentral:pre_miRNA from 1 species
AAAAGUGUAAGAAGACAGAAAAAAAAGGGGACAGGUCAACGUCUCAAACUCAGCUCAGCUGAGUUUGAGACGUUGUCCUGUCCCCUUUUUUAUUUCUUCUUACACUAUUU